GAUAGUAACUUCUCACUCCACCUCAAGAGUGUGCCUUGAGUCUUUCUGCUUUCUGCCUUCAGGUCUUCUUGGAUGCUGUUGAAACCUGCUUAGUCUGUGCAAAAGUCUAGCCCAGAAGUACUGAGUUAACAGCCCGGGAGGCGAUCAUCAAGAUAAAUGUGCCACUAUCCCUCCUUCAGACUGUAAACACCAUGUGAAUAGAGAUGACUUCUGUCUACUUCCAUGAGCUCUAGAGCAUCCACAAGCUCCUUACACAUGAGACGAUCAGAGCAUCAGUGGCAACUGAAUGAGACAUGCCAGUUUGGGCUCAGGCUCCAAGAGGACACAUCCAAGUACAUCUCCACGACCAGGAGGUUCAUGCGCUUGGUCCUCUGUGCGUUAAGGGAGCUUGGGCAUUUAUCCAUGACUUUGCACACCUGGUACCCAAGCUGUGAUUUCAGGAUUCUAGGUCUUCAUCUGGAGCAAAGCUGGAGUGUGACUCCAGGGGCCCAGGAAGGCCAAUCUUCAUCCUAAGCCUCUGUAAGAAUAGGGCCAACUUGAAGCUAGUAUGUGUAACUCCGUGCAUUUUCUCCAGAGACGCUGGAACCAUAGGCUUGGCCAAAAAAAGAUGGGAUGUACUAAUCAGUGAUUUAUAACAUGCUGUCAGAAGUCCAAAGCUGCCUGGAGGUGCCCUGUACCAACUUGCUACAUAGUUUAUUGGAAAAACAUAGAUGGAUGGUUGGCACCUGGUUUCAGUUAUUAUGCCUGGUUACUUAGACUGGUUUGGGCUAUGUGACCAGAGGGAAAUAAGAUGAACAUAUGCCUUGGCUUCCCUGAGGCCCAGUUCUUCCCCAUGCACUAGGGGGUUCACGAUGCAGAGGCCGAACCAGUCCCGUGCGACUGAGGGGGGCCUUAGCAACUGCUCGUGGAUGCUGUGGAUCUUCCUGAAGUUGCUCCGAGUUUUCUUACUCUUAUUGUUCUGUAUCCUUUGCCUGUAAUAAAACCAUUCAGGGCCAGGUGCGAUGGUUCACG
rnacentral:lncRNA from 1 species